CCUACGGGGGCAGCAGUGGGGAAUAUUGGACAAUGGGCGAAAGCCUGAUCCAGCCAUGCCGCGUGUGUGAAGAAGGCCUUCGGGUUGUAAAGCACUUUCAGUGGGGAAGAAAGCCUUGGGGCUAAUACCCUCGAGGAAGGACAUCACCCACAGAAGAAGCACCGGCUAACUCCGUGCCAGCAGCCGCGGUAAUACGGAGGGUGCGAGCGUUAAUCGGAAUUACUGGGCGUAAAGCGCGCGUAGGCGGUCUGAUAAGCCGGUUGUGAAAGCCCCGGGCUCAACCUGGGAACGGCAUCCGGAACUGUCAGGCUAGAGUGCAGGAGAGGAAGGUAGAAUUCCCGGUGUAGCAGUGAAAUGCGUAGAGAUCGGGAGGAAUACCAGUGGCGAAGGCGGCCUUCUGGACUGACACUGACGCUGAGGUGCGAAAGCGUGGGUAGCAAACAGGAUUAGAUACCCUUGUAGUC
rnacentral:rRNA from 1 species